UCUCUCCAUCAUGUGACGUCUACCCUUUCUUCCUCGGCUGCCAUCCGAAGCUGCUCUCACUAAAACAUGCCUCUUAAUGCUGCCCGCGGCUUUGUGAUGGCAGAAGGCUUCAGCAUACGGAGGAGUCGAUGAUCUACUCAGUUCUCCACCACCGUGCUUCGCUGUUGGUAUGAGAUGUGCAUUUCGGCCAGACAUCUUCACUUUGGUCCCAUGUGUGAACAUUGCUCUACAAGUCUUGCAACUCAGUCGGAUGCAACAUUUCAAACACUACUCUCCUCCGAAAUGUAAGCAAGAGGUUUUGAAAUCAGAAUCUAUUUUCCAAAAGGUUAUCUAAGUAGACAUCUCCUCUGACUUCUCAGUGCCCUCAGUGCCGAGCCACUCCAAAGGGAGAAGACAGAUGGAGGACGAUGACCGGACAACCCGGCACAUGGAACCAAGAUGUUCAUAGAUCUAUUGGAAGCAAUAAUCGCUUCCCUGAGGCCUGUACAAGUAUCUCCUCAUCUCCAUUGCAUGCCGCAGACCAGAAAACAGCCAAAAAAUGUUGCUUUUACAAAGGAAGUCACAACAACUGAUGAUCAACCAGUAAUCAGGUGAAUCUUAUCAGCAGCACCUUCAUAAAACGUUUGAUCUCGAGGAAGCAGCAAGGCUGUAAUUCAUUUUGGCUUCAUCUGAUAACAAGAGAAGAAUCUGUUCCAUGUGUUUGCACAACUGAAAUUAGGUUUAACUAAGAAAAACGAAAUGGAACUAGGAAAAGUCCAGCUUCUUUUCUUUCUGUCCUUCAAAGGACAAGCAGCUUAUGAACCACUAAUGCAUCAACAUUACAACUCCAGGCAUUGUACCAAGACGUUCUCACAGCUUUAGGAGAGCGCCGUUCUCUCUAACUCGAUGGAAUUAUCUGCGUGAUCAGUAAUGCAACUAACAGUCAGUAUUUAGCAUGGAUUUGAUAACAUCUGACUGGUCUGUUGCCGAGUCAGUGCUUGGUUGCUGCGGUGACACCGGGACUCAGUGGCAGAAUGAGAGGGGGAGGAUGAGUUGGUAAAACAAAAACAUGAUUCUUCACACUGAAUAACUAGUGGCGCAAAUAUACAUGCAAAGAUUAAUAUUCCAUCUAUCGUGAGGCGGUUUGAUUACAUGGGAUUGAUCCUGACACACACACAGCCUUAAAGUGGAAGAUGUUUGUACAGGAGGUUCAGUGGUUUAGACACGCGGGCCUCAGGGGUAAUGUGGACAGCAUUUAGUGUCUGUUUUUGACUCAGCAUUGUGUGUGUGUGUGUGUGUGUGUGUGUGUGUGUGUGUGUGUGUGUGUGUGUGUGUGUGUGCGUGAGUGCGCAGGGAGAAUCUAAGGUUGCAGGCAUUUUGUUCCUUAUAGACACAGAUCAACCACUAGAAUGAGGCUGGGUACUCAGAAUCACAAACUUCAAUGUAAUUUCUAGAGAUCUUGGGUGACAGAUCAACUUUUAUUAGUGCAUAGCUGUGAUAAAAAUGUGUUUUUGUUUUGUUUCUUUUUUCCCCCCAAAGAACAAUCUAAAAAGUGAUUCAAUACUUGUGCAGUUACACUCUGGCCAUCUCAAUUACUUUGCAGUGUUCAAGUCCUGCCAUUUAUUCUCAGUUAAGUUUAGACAUGGAACAUUUUAACACGUAUGGUUUGAUCUAAGCCAGGGGUGUCCAAACAUUUUGUUACAUGGGCCAAAACAAAAAUAAUUAAUAAAACUAAAAUCAC